rnacentral:rRNA from 1 species
UACCAGCUCUCCGAGUUGUAGGGACGAUUAUUGGGCCUAAAGCGUCCGUAGCCGGCUUAGCAAGUCUCCCGUUAAAUUCAGCGACCUAAUCGUUGAGCCGCGGGAGAUACUACUAGGCUAGGAGGCGGGAGAGGUCGACGGUACUUUCGGGGUAGGGGUGAAAUCCUAUAAUCCCGGGAGGACCACCAGUGGCGAAGGCUGUCGACUAGAACGCGCUCGACGGUGAGGGACGAAAGCUGGGGUAGCGAACCGGAUUAGAUACCCGGGUAGUCCAGCUGUAAACUAUGCGGGCUAGGUGUUGGGGUGGCUACGGGCCACUUCAGUGCCGCAGGAAAGCCAUUAAGCCCGCCGCCUGGGGAGUACGGCCGCAAGGCUGAAACUUAAAGGAAUUGGCGGGGGAGCACCACAAGGCGUGAAGCUUGCGGUUC